CAGCCGCCGCGGUAAUACGAAGGGUGCAAGCGUUAAUCGGAAUUACUGGGCGUAAGGCGUGCGUAGGCGGUUUGUUAAGUCUGUUGUGAAAUCCCCGGGCUCAACCUGGGAAUGGCAAUGGAUACUGGCAAGCUAGAGUGUGUCAGAGGAUGGUGGAAUUCCCGGUGUAGCGGUGAAAUGCGUAGAGAUCGGGAGGAACAUCAGUGGCGAAGGCGGCCAUCUGGGACAACACUGACGCUGAGGCACGAAAGCGUGGGGAGCAAACAGGAUUAGAUACCCGGGUAGUCCCUGUCUCUUAUAC
rnacentral:rRNA from 1 species